UACGUAGGUGGCAAGCGUUGUCCGGAUUUAUUGGGCGUAAAGCGAGUGCAGGCGGUUCAAUAAGUCUGAUGUGAAAGCCUUCGGCUCAACCGGAGAAUUGCAUCAGAAACUGUUGAACUUGAGUGCAGAAGAGGAGAGUGGAACUCCAUGUGUAGCGGUGGAAUGCGUAGAUAUAUGGAAGAACACCAGUGGCGAAGGCGGCUCUCUGGUCUGCAACUGACGCUGAGGCUCGAAAGCAUGGGUAGCGAAC
rnacentral:rRNA from 1 species